UCUGAUACAGCCAUGCCGCGUGUGUGAUGAAGGCCUUAGGGUUGUAAAGCUCUUUUUAUAGGGAGAAAAACUUAGGUAUCUGUACCCGUUUGCCCGGACUG
rnacentral:rRNA from 1 species